GAUGAAGAACGUAGCGAAAUGCGAUAAGUAGUGUGAAUUGCAGAAUUCAGUGAAUCAUCGAAUCUUUGAACGCACAUUGCGCCCCUUGGUAUCCCGAGGGGCAUGCCUGUUCGAGCGUCAUUUUACCACUCAAGCCUGGCUUGGUGUUGGGCGACGUCCCCUUUGGGGACGCGCCUCGAAACGCUCGGCGGCGUGGCACCGGCUUUAAGCGUAGCAGAAUCUUUCGCUUUGGAAGUCGGGGCCCCGUCUGCCGGAAGACCUACUCGCAAGGUUGACCUCGGAUCAGGCAGGGAUACCCGCUGAACUUAAGCAUAUCAAUAAGCGGAGGA
rnacentral:misc_RNA from 1 species